rnacentral:rRNA from 1 species
AACGCGAAGAACCUUACCUGGGUUUGAAAUGUAGUGGUAAGCCUCAGAGAUGAGGUCCCCUCUUCGGAGGCCGCUACAUAGGUGCUGCAUGGCUGUCGUCAGCUCGUGUCGUGAGAUGUUGGGUUAAGUCCCGCAACGAGCGCAACCCUUGUCCAUAGUUGCUAACGCGUAGUGGCGAGAACUCUAUGGAGACUGCCGGUGAUAAACCGGAGGAAGGUGGGGAUGACGUCAAGUCCUCAUGGCCUUUAUGUCCAGGGCUACACACGUGCUACAAUGGACGGUACAAAGAGUCGCAAAACCGCGAGGUGGAGCUAAUCUCAAAAAGCCGUUCUCAGUUCGGAUUGCACUCUGCAACUCGAGUGCAUGAAGCUGGAAUCGCUAGUAAUCGCGGAUCAGAACGCCGCGGUGAAUACGUUCCCGGGUCUUGACACCCAAGG